rnacentral:rRNA from 1 species
AAGACGGGUGGAAGCAGGGGGGAAUAGGGGACAAGGGGCGAAAGCCUGAUCCAGCCAUGCCGCGUGUGUGAAGAAGGCCUUCGGGUUGUAAAGCACUUUCAGUGGGGAAGAAAGCCUUGGGGCUAAUACCCUCGAGGAAGGACAUCACCCACAGAAGAAGCACCGGCUAACUCCGUGCCAGCAGCCGCGGUAAUACGGAGGGUGCGAGCGUUAAUCGGAAUUACUGGGCGUAAAGCGCGCGUAGGCGGUCUGAUAAGCCGGUUGUGAAAGCCCCGGGCUCAACCUGGGAACGGCAUCCGGAACUGUCAGGCUAGAGUGCAGGAGAGGAAGGUAGAAUUCCCGGUGUAGCGGUGAAAUGCGUAGAGAUCGGGAGGAAUACCAGUGGCGAAGGCGGCCUUCUGGACUGACACUGACGCUGAGGUGCGAAAGCGUGGGUAGCAAACAGGAUUAGAUACCCCAGUAGUC